CCUGGCUCAGAUUGAACGCUGGCGGCAUGCCUUACACAUGCAAGUCGAACGGCAGCGGACCUUCGGGUGCCGGCGAGUGGCGAACGGGUGAGUAAUAUAUCGGAACGUACCUUUCAGUGGGGGAUAACGUAGCGAAAGUUACGCUAAUACCGCAUAUUCUGUGAGCAGGAAAGCAGGGGAUCGCAAGACCUUGCGCUGAUUGAGCGGCCGAUAUCAGAUUAGCUAGUUGGUGAGGUAAAGGCUCACCAAGGCGACGAUCUGUAGCGGGUCUGAGAGGAUGAUCCGCCACACUGGAACUGAGACACGGUCCAGACUCCUACGGGAGGCAGCAGUGGGGAAUUUUGGACAAUGGGCGCAAGCCUGAUCCAGCCAUGCCGCGUGAGUGAAGAAGGCCUUCGGGUUGUAAAGCUCUUUCAGCCGGGAAGAAAACGCAUGGGUUAAUACCCUGUGUGGAUGACGGUACCGGAAUAAGAAGCACCGGCUAACUACGUG
rnacentral:rRNA from 1 species